CCUACGGGAGGCAGCAGUGAGGAAUAUUGGUCAAUGGGCGGGAGCCUGAACCAGCCAAGCCGCGUGAGGGAAGAAGGUACAGCGUAUCGUAAACCUCUUUUGUCAGGGAACAAAGGCGGGGACUAGUCCCCGGAUGAGGGUACCUGAAGAAAAAGCAUCGGCUAACUCCGUGCCAGCAGCCGCGGUAAUACGGAGGAUGCGAGCGUUAUCCGGAUUUACUGGGUGUAAAGGGAGCGUAGGCGGUUUAGCAAGUCAGAAGUGAAAGCCCGGGGCUCAACUCCGGGACUGCUUUUGAAACUGUUGAA
rnacentral:rRNA from 1 species